rnacentral:rRNA from 1 species
CAGAGGGUGCAAGCGUUAAUCGGAAUUACUGGGCGUAAAGCGCGCGUAGGUGGUUACUUAAGUCAGAUGUGAAAAGCCCCGGGCGUUAACCUUAGGGAACGUGCAUCUGAUACUGGGUGGACUAGAGUAGGUGAGAGGGGAGGUAGAAUUCCAGGUGUAGCGGUGAAAUAGCGUAGAGAUCUGGAGGAAUACCGAUGGCGAAGGCAGCUCCCUGGCAUCAUACUGACACUGAGGUGCGAAAGCGUGGGUAGCAAACAGGAUU